GUAGCCGACCUGAGAGGGUGAUCGGCCACACUGGAACUGAGACACGGUCCAGACUCCUACGGGAGGCAGCAGUAGGGAAUCUUCCGCAAUGGGCGAAAGCCUGACGGAGCAACGCCGCGUGAGUGAUGAAGGUCUUCGGAUCGUAAAGCUCUGUUGUUAGGGAAGAACAAAUGUGUAAGUAACUGUGCACAUCUUGACGGUACCUAACCAGAAAGCCACGGCUAACUACGUGCCAGCAGCCGCGGUAAUACGUAGGUGGCAAGCGUUAUCCGGAAUUAUUGGGCGUAAAGCGCGCGUAGGCGGUUUUUUAAGUCUGAUGUGAAAGCCCACGGCUCAACCGUGGAGGGUCAUUGGAAACUGGAAAACUUGAGUGCAGAAGAGGAAAGUGGAAUUCCAUGUGUAGCGGUGAAAUGCGCAGAGAUAUGGAGGAACACCAGUGGCGAAGGCGGCUUUCUGGUCUGCAACUGACGCUGAUGUGCGAAAGCGUGGGGAUCAAACAGGAUUAGAUACCCUGGUAGUCCACGCCGUAAACGAUGAGUGCUAAGUGUUAGGGGGUUUCCGCCCCUUAGUGCUGCAGCUAACGCAUUAAGCACUCCGCCUGGGGAGUACGGUCGCAAGACUGAAACUCAAAGGAAUUGACGGGGACCCGCACAAGCGGUGGAGCAUGUGGUUUAAUUCGAAGCAACGCGAAGAACCUUACCAAAUCUUGACAUCCUUUGACCGCUCUAGAGAUAGAGUUUUCCUCUUCGGAGGACAAAGUGACAGGUGGUGCAUGGUUGUCGUCAGCUCGUGUCGUGAGAUGUUGGGUUAAGUCCCGCAACGAGCGCAACCCUUGAACUUAGUUGCCAUCAUUCAGUUGGGCACUCUAAGUUGACUGCCGGUGACAAACCGGAGGAAGGUGGGGAUGACGUCAAAUCAUCAUGCCCCUUAUGAUUUGGGCUACACACGUGCUACAAUGGACAAUACAAAGGGCAGCGAAACCGCGAGGUCAAGCAAAUCCCAUAAAGUUGUUCUCAGUUCGGAUUGUAGUCUGCAACUCGACUACAUGAAGCUGGAAUCGCUAGUAAUCGUAGAUCAGCAUGCUACGGUGAAUACGUUCCCGGGUCUUGUACACACCGCCCGUCACACCACGAGAGUUUGUAACACCCGAAGCCGGUGGAGUAACCAUUUUGGAGCUAGCCGUCGAAGGUGGGACAAAUGAUUGGGGUGAAGUCGUAACAAGGUAGCCGUAUCGGAAGGUGCGGCUGGAUCACCUCCUUUCUA
rnacentral:rRNA from 1 species